rnacentral:snoRNA from 10 species
AAAGCUGAAAAAUAUAAUGGAUGCACUGAAAAGUGCAUGAGAAGGCCUCUACAGCAGAACUGAUC